UACGAAGGGUGCAAGCGUUACUCGGAAUUACUGGGCGUAAAGGGUGCGUAGGCGGGUCUUUAAGUCAGGGGUGAAAUCCUGGAGCUCAACUCCAGAACUGCCUUUGAUACUGAGAUCUUGAGUUCGGGAGAGGUGAGUGGAACUGCGAGUGUAGAGGUGAAAUUCGUAGAUAUUCGCAAGAACACCAGUGGCGAAGGCGGCUCACUGGCCCGAUACUGACGCUGAUGCACGAAAGCGUGGGGAGCAAACAGG
rnacentral:rRNA from 1 species